rnacentral:rRNA from 1 species
UACGUAGGGGGCAAGCGUUGUCCGGAUUUAUUGGGCGUAAAGAGCGUGUAGGCGGUCAGGUAGGUCCGUUGUGAAAACUCGAGGCUCAACCUCGAGACGCCGAUGGAAACCAUCUGACUAGAGUCCGGAAGAGGAGAGUGGAAUUCCUGGUGUAGCGGUGAAAUGCGCAGAUAUCAGGAGGAACACCGGUGGCGAAGGCGGGUCUCUGGGCCGAUACUGACGCUGAGGAGCGAAAGCGUGGGGAGCAAACAGG